rnacentral:rRNA from 1 species
AGUGAACGCUGGCGGCAGGCCUAAUACAUGCAAGUCGAACGGCAGCACAGUGGAGCUUGCUCCAUGGGUGGCGAGUGGCGGACGGGUGAGGAAUACAUGGGAAUCUGCCCAGUCGUUGGGGAUAACGUAGGGAAACUUACGCUAAUACCGCAUGCGCCCUUCGGGGGAAAGCCGGGGACCUUCGGGCCUUGCGCGAUUGGAUGAGCCCAUGUUCGAUUAGCUAGUUGGCGGGGUAAAGGCCCACCAAGGCGACGAUCGAUAGCUGGUCUGAGAGGAUGAUCAGCCACACUGGGACUGAGACACGGCCCAGACUCCUACGGGAGGUAGCAGUAGGGAAUAUUGGACAAUGGGCGCAAGCCUGAUCCAGCCAUGCCGCGUGAGUGAAGAAGGCCCUCGGGUUGUAAAGCUCUUUUGUCCGGGAAGAAAAGCAUCGGGCUAAUACCUCGGUGUUCUGACGGUACCGGAAGAAUAAGCACCGGCUAACUUCGUG